UACGUAGGGUGCAAGCGUUAAUCGGAAUUACUGGGCGUAAAGCGUGCGCAGGCGGUUGUGCAAGACAGAUGUGAAAUCCCCGGGCUCAACCUGGGAACUGCAUUUGUGACUGCACAGCUUGAGUGCGGCAGAGGGGGAUGGAAUUCCGCGUGUAGCAGUGAAAUGCGUAGAUAUGUGGAGGAACACCGAUGGCGAAGGCAGCCCCCUGGGUUAACACUGACGCUCAUGCACGAAAGCGUGGGGAGCAAACAGG
rnacentral:rRNA from 1 species